rnacentral:rRNA from 1 species
UACGUAGGGUGCGAGCGUUAAUCGGAUUUACUGGGCGUAAAGCGCACGUAGGCGGAUCUUUAAGUCAGAGGUGAAAUCCCAAGGCUCAACCUUGGAACUGCCUUUGAUACUGGGGAUCUUGAGUCCGGGAGAGGUGAGUGGAAUUCCCAGUGUAGAGGUGAAAUUCGUAGAUAUUGGGAAGAACACCGGUGGCGAAGGCGGCUCACUGGCCCGUAACUGACGCUCAUGCACGACAGCGUGGGGAGUCAAACAGG